rnacentral:rRNA from 1 species
ACACGUAGGGGCCUGACGUUGUUCGGAAUCAUUGGGCGUAAAGGGCGCGCAGGCGGCCGUCCAAGUCCGGUGUUAAAUGGUCGGGCUCAACCCGAUCAUGCGCUGGAAACUGGGCGGCUUGAGUCCCGUAGGGGAUGCCGGAAUUCCAGGUGUAGGGGUGAAAUCUGUAGAUAUCUGGAAGAACACCGAUGGCGAAGGCAGGCAUCUGGCCGGAGACUGACGCUGAGGCGCGAAGGCGCGGGGAGCGAACAGGUUUAGAUACCCUGGUAGUCCGCGCAGUAAAUGAUGCGCACCAGGUGUCGGGCGGCAGCGCCCGGUACCGGAGCUAACGCGAUGAGUGCGCCGCCUGGGGCGUAUGCCCGCAAGGGUGAAACUCAAAUGAAUUGACGGGG